GGUGGCUCAGUCAUUGAGUGUCUGCCUUUGGCUCAGGUCAGGAUCCCAGGGUCCUGGGAUCGAGCCCUGCAUCGGGCUCCUGCUUGGCGGGAAGCCUACUUCUCCCUCUCCCACUCCCCCUGCUUGUGUUCCCUCUCUAGCUGUCUCUCUCUGUCAAAUAAAUAAAUAAAAUCUUUAAAAAAAAAAAAAAAAAAAAAGCCUUUCUGUUAGGGAAUAUGUCAGCUGUACAGAGUAGAGCAAAUAGUUUGACUCCCAAAGACCCACCACCCCACUUCAGCCACUCUGGGCCUGGGCCAGUCCCAGUCCCGUGUUGUCUGUACUCCCGCCCACUUUCCUUCCUCUGCAAUUAUUUUGAAGUAAAUUUCAGCCCCUGUUUUCUCUGUAAAUAUUUUGGUAUGUGUCUUUCAAAGAUAAGUACUCUUAUUUUUAAAAAAUAUAACAUAAAAAACUGUAACACCUAAAAACUUUAACCAUUUCUUAGUAUCUAGUAUUUGAGAGUAUUUUUACAGCCAACUUCCCAUAAUAUCACUAAGUCCCUCAAAAGGAAGCACAAGGGCAUUUUUUUUAUUAUUAUUAUAACAUCAGAUUCUGAACUAUGUCCACCCAAUUCUGUAGAGAUGCCAAGAUGGCUAUAAAUUAGGAGCUGCUUCUCCAACAUGCUGAAGUAAAAUUUGGUAUGGCUACAUCAUCGGGUCAGCUUCAGAAUACUUUAGAACAAGGAUUGAUUCCUCCUACCCACAAGGGAUCUGGGUAAAUAAGCCUUAUGGUUAUAAAAGCUUCUUGUCCGGGUUUGUAUUGGGCCUGGCUGUGACUAGUUUCUGCUUGUUAGAGCUGGUUUAGAAACUGACUUCCCUUUCCUGCUGGGGAAGAUCAGCAAUCUGUGAUGUUAUCUGGCCAAGAAGGGGCUGGUUCCUUCUGUUGUAUCUCCUGGUGUCUCUUUUUGUCCAACCCUGCAGCAAAGAAAGCCACUUGGAUGCUAGCUCAUUUCUUUGUUCAAUAUCUAUAUAUUGAGCACCUACACUGAUUUUGUAAACACCGGUGCUUCACCAAGAAAAUUCUGCCCAGUCCCUCUUAGUAUCUGAACUAAGGGUUGGCCCGACCUUCAAGAUGUUCUGGCAACCAAAUCGUUCCAGCAAUCUGCUCUUGCCCUUUUAUAGGAUGAGGAAGUAUGUGAACUAACAGAAUAGCAAUGGGGCAUCUGACAUGGUGUCUUCCCAGAGCUAAUAUUCUAGUGAAGGGCCCAGGUAAUGAACAAGUUAAUUGCAGAUUAUAUUAAGUGCUAUAGAGGAAAUUUUGACAGACUGAAGGUUUAUUAGGCUUGUAUCUUUUUUAUAACGUGCACAGGUCUCUGAGGAGAUGAUAUUUGAGCUAAGACCUGCAUAAUGAGAGAAGGCAGCCAUGGGAAGAACCAGAGGAAGGUUGUUCCAGGCAUAGGGAGAGCAGUGCAAAGCACUGGGGUUGGGAACAAGUCUGGCAUGUUUGAAAAAACCCCAAACGAAGCUGGUGUGGCCUGUGGCUGCAGUGUCGCAAGUUGAGAGGCGGACAGUACAGAUGUUGGGAGAGAGCUAGGAGGGUAGGAGGUCAGAAUUCGUUUUAGGUGCAUAAUUGUAGUCGUACAAGAAGAAAAUAAAUGGAGGCCCACAUAUUCUCUGUAGAAAGCAUCGGAGAGCCCUGAAAUGUUUCUGACGUCAGCUCAGAAGGUUCCCCAGGGUGUCCUGGGUGUUAGAAAGCCCUGCACCUGCUCUGCAAAGUGUAGGUGGGUGACCCCCCAGCGUGGAGAGCUCGCAGCCAGCCUGCUGGGGGCCCAGGUCAGUGUGGAGGUGCAUACCUGUGCACAGUAUUGUUCAUAUUGAGUUACUGGCAUUAAACAGGUAGGGAUGAGAAGGGGCACGGUCAUCAUUCCCUCUUGUGAAGGUCAAGAGGCAGCAAAGAGAAAGCUUCUGGACAGCCAAAAACAAGCACUCAUUCCAGGCUGCGCAAGGUGGAGUCAGAGCCAGUGAUUCCGUGACUUACUGUAGCCACUUUUUAUUUAGUAAGUUAAGCUCUGUAAUGAGCUACGUGUCUACUAUGUGCCCUAUGGAGGUGAUGCAUAAACCCAUUCCUUGAAGUUCUAAGGUCCUGGCUGGGUGCCAGCUCUCACGAAGGGGAAGCUCUGGGGAGCCGGGGCUGGCAAUGGAGUCACCCUUUCAAUCUUGAGGAAGCUCUUGAUAAACACCCAAGAUCCAAGCCGUCAACCUGCCAGGAGUUCAAAGCUUUUUGAUUUGAAAAUGACUUGAUCAGAGGUCAGAUCUCUGCAGAAGAUCUUAUCAGGAGGUGGGCGCAAGUCCUGAGUUUGAAGUCCAGGCUGUGGAAGAUUUAACAAGCACCACUGGAUUACGUUUGUUUAUCAUUCAGAACUACAUUCAUCCAAAUUCACAACUUUUUCCCUUAACUUAAAAUAUCUCAUUGUUAAAGGCGAAUACAGGAAGUAACAAACGCAUAUCCUUCAGGAUUAUGCUGAGUGAGAAGGUCAUGUCAAAGGAUCCUAAAAUCCCAUUCUGCUCCCUGGUCUUAUUAAUAGGUUUUGUUAUUUUUAAAGUUUAUUUAUUUACCUUUUUUUUUUUGAGUAAUUUUAUUUAUUUUACUUAUUUACUUAUUUCUACCCCCAACAUGGGGCUCAAACUUACGGCCCUAAAGAGUUGCAUGCUCUAUCGACUGAGCCAGCCAGAUGCCCCUAUAAUUUGUUCAUGGAAUACACUUUAUUUUUUUUUUUAAAGAUUUUAUUUAUUUAUUUGACAGAGACAUAGCGAGAGAAGGAACACAAGCAGGGGGAGUAGGAGAGGGAGAAGCAGGCUUUCCGCCGAGCAGAGAGCCUGAUGCGAUGCGGGGCUCGAUCCCAGGACCCUGGGAUCAUGACCUUAGCCAAAGGCAGACGCUUAACGACUGAGUCACCCAGGCGCCCCAUGUAAUACACUUUAAAAACUAUCUUGAGGUGUUCCCAAUUUUGAGGAGUUCAGAGUACCUGAAUCAUUAUUUUCAUCCUUUUAAAUAUUCCUAGUAAGAUUAUUUGCCUCAGUUCCUUUUUGGAACAAGCCACAGGAUCAACGCAUAAAGCUUGUGUGUGUGAAAAGUAAGGGACAAAAGGUAUGAAUGAGAACCUGGGGCUCCGGAGAGGGAGGGCUGCCGAAGGCGCCUCAAAAGAACUGCUAUCAGGGAGAAGGAGCAUUUCUAAUCCUAACUCCGCUCUUACAGCUCAGUUGCUAUGAAAACACGAGCCACCCUCUGCUCUUGCUCACUCACCACUGGAAGCUGGGAGCUUUUAAUUUUUAUUUUUUAAAGAUUUUAUUAGAGAGAGAGCACAAGUGGGGGGGGGUAGGGCAGAGGGAGAGGGAGAAGAGACUCCCCACUGAGCAGGGAGCCCCACAAGGAGCUUGAUCCCAGGACUCUGGGAUCCUGGCCUGAGCAGAAGGCAGAUGCUUAACUGACAGAGCCACCCAGGCGCCCCAUGCUGGGAGCUUUUAAAAGUUAAGAGUUUUGGAUCUUUGACCCCAGGGAGUGAGACUAGUUAGGUCUACUUUUAACAAGAUUAUUGAUUUUUUUUUUUUUUUUGGCUUGUUUGAGGUAAACUUUUUGGCCUUAUUUGCUACUUUUCAUAGUGAAUUCAAAGGUUAAUUUCAGCUGACAGUGACUUGCCCGGAUGUCAAGUCUGAAAGCCUUCCAUUUUUGUCCUAUUUGGUGUUGGCAUGAUGAUAGUGGGGCCAUCUGGGAAAGCCCAGACCCACUUUUCUUGUAUACCCCACCUACACUCAGAGGGAAACCCACCAGACAACACCUUUCUGUCUUGUAAAAUACUCUGAUAAAUUGCAAGUUUGCUGUUUUCCUAACAAACAUUUAGCUCAUUAAUCGUUAAAAAGUCACCCUUAUUAUAAUUGCAUAUUAAUUGAAUAUCCAUCCUGUGGAAGACCCCAGGCAAAGCAGAGGAAGUCUCCCCUUUGACCUAAAAAUUUGUAUUACCAAGCUGUCUUAUAAACAUGAGUCCUAGGCCCAAAAAUUACUCUCUCUUACAUUUUAUAGUUUUCAAAAUAUUGUCAAGGUUAUGUUCAUAAAUUACCCUGUGUGAACAUCCUAAGCCUGUGCGAGGGACAUGGCAGAUUUUAUCAUGAGUAGCAGCCGUACUGUUGCUCUUAUUCACAGUCCGAUAAAGUGGUUCAGGGUUGUUGAGGCACCUGAGAUCAGACCCUAGUGGGACUGAGCUAGGAUGAGAACCCAGAGAGUACUGUGGGGCCUUCCCCAGACACUCUGUUCCACAGCCUCCCAAGAAGGUUGACCUCGGCUGCAGGCAUCUUCUGAGCUGUCCUCUUGCAGGGAAAGCUUGCAGUCCCCAGAGUCUGAACCCAGGGCACCUUGUACACCCACCUUGGGGAAACGGAGUCUUGGCCACCAAGAGCCAGGCAGAAGGCAAGCCUGGAAGGGAGAGUUGGUCUCUCCUCAUUUGGAGACUGUAUCUCUUGGCUUUUGUUGUUGUCUUGGCUGCCCUUGGAUGUACUUGUGGUUUUGAAAGGUGGCCAAAGCGAGAAGCCAGGGCGCUCUUAAACCUGCUGCUUGAUGUCACAGAAGAAGCCUUUGUUCUGCAGGAGAGGUCUGCAGACAGGAUUUCCUCCCGACAUUAGCGUUUGUUUGACUGCUGUCCCUUUGAUUCACUUAUCUUCAAGGGUGAAUUUUUAUUUGAAUCUGGGACCUUCCUUGGGCUGAGAGGGACCGGUUCCUGUUGUUGAGAUGUCUGUGUUGUCGGGAUAGCCGAAGGAUCAGCUCUGGGAGGCCGGUGCGGGUCCUCUUCCUGCCUGUGGGUACGUGGAGGCAUGCAUUCCUGGGAACAGCUGCGGGGUGCCCAAUUCCUUCGGCCCCUUGCGCCGUGGGGGCAUGUGGUGGGACAUGGUGAUGUUUCAUCAGUUUGCAUGAGCGGAGCUGACUGACUAGUCACAAGUGUUUUAACUGACGGGGGCCAGAAAGUCGGCAGAAUUAUCCCAAAUUAAAAUCCAUAUACUUUCCUGGGCUGUAAGUUACCUACCGUGUUGCAGCAUCUGCUGUUGUAAGUAGAAGCAAAGUGGAAGGCACAGGGUCUGUGCAGACUCUUCUCAAAACACUGAUUGAUUGAUUGAUUGAUUGAUUGAUUGGUUUUUUUAAAAAGAUUUUAUUUAUUUGCCAGAGAGAGCACAAGCAGGGAGAGUGGCAGGCAGAGGGAGAAGCAAGCUCCUCGCUGAGCAAGGGGCCUGAUGUGGGACUCGAUCCGAGGACCCUGAGAUUAUGAUCUGAGCUGAGCCCAGGCUUAACUGACUGAGCCACCCAGGCGCCCCUCAAAACACUGAUUUAAAUAUCUAACUCUGGGCUGUAUCACUGCCCUCACCCAAAAAAUUAUUUCAUUUGUUCCUCUUGAGAACCACCAAGUUCUAGAACUACUGCUUUCUCCUUAACAAAGCAAGAUGUUUCCCCAGACAUGCAAAUCAGUCAGCCUUUAGCUUGCAGUUAAUCAGAGGGAUCUACAAGGUAAAGGUCCACAUGCAAAUAUCUGCCUUUUAGUUAUACACAGGCAUGUCUGCUCUCUGCAAAUUGGAAGCUUUUCGUGCACAGAGGAAAAGUUGGGUUUAGAGGUGCAAAAGUCUAUGUACUAUUUUAAUAGAUUCCGUUUAAUAGAAGGCACAUUUAUUGAGUUAGCAGAGUAACAAUCGCUUAAUAGCCAAGAAUGUCUCCAGGCAAAUUAUAGUCCAUUUGUUGAAUUUUUAUUUUUGAAAUUUCAAGUUGCGUUUUACUAACAUUUUGCAGUGCCCCUUGGUGUUUGAAUGCAGCUGUUGGCAUGGGGUAGUGCAUUCUGAGGAAUGGUGCAUGUUCAGGCCCUGGUGGCCCCUGGUGUGCUGAGCUGGGAGCAGCUGGGUCAGAGUGAGUGCAAAUGUCAACCAAGAAAAUGAUGGGAGAAUUACACAAAGCAGUCCUUGUUGAGUGAUGCUGCUCAACAUCUUCUCUGCCCCCACCCCCAGGACCUAUAAAUCAGGGUUUCUUAGGCCUCCUGCAUGCUGUCUGGGCAAGGUCAGGUUUUCAGUCUUCUGAGAGACAGAAACUCGGAGAGUUUUUCCACACCUUUCGGUAUAUGUAGAAACUUAUUGUAAACAGAAGGUACUGUGCGGUUACAAGUUACUUGUGUUCUUAACACAUGUGGAUUUGGGAGCCUUCGCAGCCUGGCCGGAGGAUCCAGGCUGGAGAAGCUGUCAGUGCUGUUUUUGAUGGGAAGGAGACUCCUCCAUGGGGCCCGUAGGACUGAGAAGCAGGCAGGCCACAGCCCCCCCCGCGGCUGCGAGCUUUGUGGUGCUGCCAUCUCACGCAGUCUGUCCCCAGGAGACUAGCUGCAGGGUUGGUUGUAGAAUUUCAGGCUGUCUCUUUUUAGAGCUCCCAAAGACAAGCGCAUGGUCUUCUUGUUUUAAGGAUUCUGAUGUUAUUUAAAAAUUAUAGAAGUCUGGGACCCCUUGGUGGCUCAGUCGGUUAAGCGUCUGCCUUCGGCUCAGGUCAUGAUCCCAGGGUCCUGGGAUCGAGCCCCACAUUGGGCUCCCUGCUCGGUGGGGAAGGCUGCUUCUCCCUCUCCCAGUCCCCCUGCUUGUGUUCCCUCUCUCGCUGUGUCUCUCUCUGUCAAAUAAAUAAAUAAAAUCUUAAAAACAAA